rnacentral:tRNA from 1 species
GUCAGGGUGGCCGAGUGGUCAAAGGCGCCAGACUCAAGUUCUGGUCACCGUAUGGAGGCGUGGGUUCGAUUCCCACUUCUGAAACA